UAGAAGGCAGGAUGAUUGUCCUUUAAUAGUGAUCAAUUUUCUCCGUUUGUCAGGGAUAUUAGAGGGAGUCAUUGUUUUUGGGUGAACCUCAUUAUCUUCUUUGUAAUGUGGUUCAGUAAAUGAUGAUACAUCU